CAGUAGCCACGGGAAUACGAAGGGUGCAAGCGUUAAUCGGAAUUACUGGGCGUAAAGCGUGCGUAGGUGGUGGUUUAAGUCCGUUGUGAAAGCCCUGGGCUCAACCUGGGAAUUGCAGUGGAUACUGGGUCACUAGAGUGUGGUAGAGGAUGGUGGAAUUCCCGGUGUAGCGGUGAAAUGCGUAGAGAUCGGGAGGAACAUCAGUGGCGAAGGCGGCCAUCUGGGACAACACUGACGCUGAGGCACGAAAGCGUGGGGAGCAAACAGGAUUAGAUACCCCCGUAGUCCCUGUCUCUUAUAC
rnacentral:rRNA from 1 species